rfam:Schistosoma curassoni strain Dakar, Senegal genome assembly, scaffold: SCTD_scaffold0007701
GCCUAGCUGAUGAGUCCCAAUUAGGACGAAACGUGUGUCCUAGAU